rnacentral:lncRNA from 1 species
AACAAUAAAACAGUUUUUUAAAAAAAAUAAAAAAAAUUAAACAAGUGACGAAUUUACAAGUAUCAUAUAAAAUUUGAAGCUAAAUAAAAUAUAAUAUCUAAAUAAAUUAUAAAUAGGACAUAUGAUAAAAUGUAAUAAAAUAGUUGAAAUAAAAGGGGAAAUAAUUAAAUUAAAAUCAAAGUAAAAGGAAAGGUAUAAAUUAUAAAUGACAGAAAGCUGCCGAGGACCAAAUCAACACGCGCUCAAAGUUUUGAGGAUGAAAUGGGACAAUAUCCCAAGUACAAUGCGCUGCGUUUUACUUGUCAGAAAUGAAAUAAAACAAUAGGGCAGAAUUUAAAAGAGGUAGUCAGGACCACAUUGCAAUGCGGCUCAAAACAGGAGGGACCAAAAUAGGUAUUUACCCAUUUAAGGGAAACACGCGGACCCCCUGGAGCGGGUCGGGUCACGCACGGGCGCACCGAAACCGUGCCGUUUCGGCACCUAGACCCCCCACCCAAAACGCUGCCGUUUCAUGCGGCAUAUUUAAAUCUAUUUUUAUUUUUAUUUUUUUAUUUUGCUUCCUCUUUGUUUUAAAAAAAAAUCAGAGAAUACUCCUCCACCCCCUUUCUCUAUUCGGCUAGGGUUUCAACACCCAUCAUCGCCAUCAUCGUCGUGGCUCUUUGAGGCCACCGUGGUUCCCACCGUAUACGGUAGUCGAGGGCCACGUCAACUUGGGUUAUUUAACCCCUUUUGUUCAAAACGAGCCCGACGGUGAGGGUCUUCUAGACCGAGGAAGAUCCGAAAGAAGGAACUCCCUCCCCGCGACCUCUUCAAGCCGAAUUCGACGACGGAGGAGCAGUCUCCGACGACGAGGCUACUUGGGUUCGGUAAACCCCUUCUUUUCUUUGAUUUAUGCCCCCUUUUCAUCAAAAAGUUUGUAAAAAGAAAAGAAAAAAAGAAAACAAACAAAAAAAAAACGAAAAGAAAAGUAGAGAAAUAAAUUGAAGUCCACCUUUUCAAAGUUCUAUUCUGCUUUUUUAUUGCUUAAUCUGCGUAAAAAAAUACAAAGGGAACGAAAAUGGCUUUUAUAGCCGAAUACAUGCCCAUUCUCUUUUUCUUCUUUGUCUGUUUCUUCAUUGUUUUUCUUUUGGUUGUUUUCUACCGUUUGUCCUUUUGUUGGUUGUCUUUCUUUUGCUUGCUUGUUGGUUUUGUUUUGCAGGGUACAUGAGCGAUCAGGGCGCGUGCGAGUAGGCGUGGUGGCGUGAGGGGACGGUGUCGUACGAGGUGGCCAAUGGUGAGGCGCGGCGGCUGCAGAAGGGAUUAGCCCUAGGGUUACCUGUUGUUUUCUUUGUAACGGGCUAGGGUUAUAAUUGGGCUUGGGGUGGUUUGGGUUUUAAUGGUUUUUAAAAUGUUGGGCCACUCAUAUAAAAAAAAUGGACUUUUUAAUUGUUUAUUAUUUGGGUUUGUUGACCUGGGCUAAAAAUUGGCUACUACAGUGGUCGUUAAUAUUGAAAAAAAAAAGAAAAAUUAAAUUUGCUUAAGUCUUCUUCAUGGUUUUUUCCUUUUAAAUUGUUUUAUUUAUAAAAUUAUUACUUUAAUAAGUAAAUAUGAGAAAGUUUUAUAUUGAUUUAUUUGUAAUUUAUUUAUAAUUUUGUAUGUAUUUUUAUAAAAUCUUAUGUGUUUUAUCGAAAAAUAAACUUUUAAAUUUCUUUUUAUUUUUAAAGUUUUUUUAAAAUUUUUUAUGAAUCAAGACUAAAUUGAUAGAAUGUUUAAAGUUGAGGGCUGAAUUUAUUGAUUUUUUUUAAAUAGGACCAAAUUGAUAGAAUCUAUAAAUAUUGGAAGGCUAAAUUUUUUAUUAUGCUAAUAAAAAUGGUCACACCAAUGUUUUAUUAGUGAUUUAACGAAAGAAUGACCAAAAUGUUAAAUUUUGAUAAUGUAGGUAACUAAAAUAAAAAUAAUCUUGAGUAACUAAAACAGAAACACA